CGUUGCGUCAUUCUCCUUCGCCCCUACCCCGAUAACCUGUCCCUUGUGCCUAACUCCGACCUCAACCAAGUCCUUUAUAAAUAAAACAAACGGCCCUUUUAAGAGCCAACAUCUGUCUGUCGUUCUCUCUCUUUGUGUGAGUCAGCCACUCGUUUGUUUGUGUGUGGUUUUUGUUUGUCCCUCUCCCUGUUGGACCUGUGACCCCAAAUUUCAGUGGCAUACUAAGUCUCUGGCAAUAUGUCAUCACUAGAUGAUGCAGAGGCUCAUCUUGAAGAGAUGAACAAGGUAGCACUAUCUAUGAUCAAAGAGCUCAACGCAACUCUGUCACCUAAGAAAAAGAGAAAAUCAAAACCAAAACCAAAACCUUUGGUUCGAUGGAGACAACGGGACAAAGACGGCAACAUUGUUGCCCAAAGACGCAAGUCCUCCUCAUCAAACUCAUGUGCGAAACGGGUCAGAUCAUCCACUCCCAGUGUUCCUGAGGGGACUUCCGCACAGAUGCCCGAUGACCAAGAGGAAGGACUUUAAAAUGGACUAAAAGAACUUGAGUCUCCUCAGUGUUGCACACGAUGACACUGAUGUCAUACAUGAUGCCAGCACAACAACAACAGCCAGCGACUGGAAGACAUGAAAUGGUGCUCAAAGUGCUUUGCAUACAAUAAAGUUUUUGAAAUAACAUGCUAAAAUGUAACUCAAAAUGAGAAGAGGACAUUUGAACAUUUGAACAUGUUCAAAUUACAUGUAAUAUAUGUAUAAAAAAGGAAAAUAAAUUAAAUUGUAUAAAAAAAUGCAUAAAAACAGAAAAGAAAGAUAAUGAUUAAAAAAAAAUUGUAUAUAGCGUCUGAUAGACUUUCUACAGAUGAUGUCAGUGUUCCAGAGGGGACAUAGUUAACUACAGAGUCAGCGAUGUAAGUCAGGUGAAACCCAUUCAUAACCAUGUGGGUUUAUGUGACAGUUGUUUGGGGGUUUAUGAGGGACCCACUGAACAGAAGGAGGUGUUUUGGCCUAUCUAUAAACAUAAAUCUGCGAUGGCUGGGAAUCGAACCCAGGUCAACUGCUUGGAAGGCAGCUAUGCUCACCACUAUACCACCAUCGCCACAUCUGCAGGAAAAAUCCCUUAAAAUAAAAACAGCAGAUGAGAAGAAAACAGAACAGAAGAGAAGAGAAGAAAGCAUGUAACACUAAGCCCUGUUUUUUCUAAAACACCCAUUGUCUCUCCAAGUUCAUGUUUUAUUUUUAGAGCUAGCUCAAUGUAUUACAUUUAAAAUUCCCUUUUUUCACAAGCAGAUGAGGCUCUUAAUGUUACAUCACAUUACCAGAGGCUGAAUACGAAUGGUGAGGAAUGACAUACUUGUUAGAGGUUUUCCUGUGUGACUGUACUGGGAUGGUGGAAUGAUUCUUCUACUUGUGAACCCACAUGAGUAAAAUAAAUUCCAUGGUAAAGAGGAAAACCAGCAUGAUGACCAUAA